AUACUGUAUGUCCUGUAUUUAGCAGGGACUUUUUUACUGUCUAUUUCUUUUAUGUUUUCAAAACUGUGAUAGAGGUUGAUGCCUCACUUUUUUUUGUCCAUGUAACCAAACGUUUUUCUUUCUCUCCACUACAGCUUCUUUUUUCCUGUGCUUAUCUUCAGCUGCUGCAGAACACAUCAGAUUGGCAGGCUCAGACUGGUUUUGCUCUGGAAGAGUGGAAAUAUACCACAACGGUGUCUGGGGAACAGUCUGUGAUGAUUACUUUGACAACAAUGAUGCUCAGGUGGUCUGCAAACAGUUAGGUUGUGGUCAACCAUUAACUGUUCAUGCAUCCGCCUACUUUGGUGAAGGCACAGGAGAAAUCUGGCUGGAUGAUGUGAGCUGUUCAGGAAAUGAAGCUUCUCUUUCUCAGUGUUCACACAGUGGAUUUGGGUCAAACAACUGUGAGCAUAGUGAGGAUGUGGGUGUCACUUGUUUGUUUCAUCAAAUCAGUCCAUAUCAGUCAUGCAGUGGAGAUGUUCAAAUUUACCAUGAUUGGGCCUGGAGACAUGUCAACUAUAAUGGCUUUGACAUGAAUGCUGCAAAUGUGGCCUGCAGACAGAUGGGCUGUGGUCCAGCAACAUCGAUCAGUCAAUAUUACUAUGACUACAACGUCCUGGAUGAUGUGAGCUGUUCAGGAAGUGAAGUUUCUCUAAAGGAAUGUCAGCACAGCAAUCCUUGGACAUACCACUAUGGACAUCGGGUUUAUGUUGCUUGUUCAGGUUAUCCAGUCCGAUUAAUUGGGCCAUCUCGGUGUGCUGGGAGAGUCGAAGUCUACUAUAGUAAUGGAUGACAAACUGUAUGUGAUGACGGCUGGGACUUGAAUGAUGCUCAGGUGGUCUGCAGACAGCUGGGCUGUGGUACAGCACUGGCUGCCACUCAUUCAGCCUGCUUUGGAAAAGGGACAGAUAAAAUCGUGUUUGAUG